UUUCUUUCUAUUUAAUAUCAUAUUUGCGGUAAGCAUCGCGACGAUAAAGUGUAGAAAGUGUAGACGGAACAAAUGCGUCUUUCGCGAAUUAUCGAUGCGCCGCCUGGCAAUUGCCGCCAGCGACGUCGUGUUUAAAUUUCUCCAAUUUCAUCUGUUACAGAUAAAUAUGAUACGUCACGCGAUCCGGAACUGUUUAGAUACUGAUUAAUUCCUGGACAAUGAAGGAAGAGGAACAGCGAGAAGUUGACAAAUUUGAUUGCGAAUCGAUCGAAGCUCGUUACGCUUCGCAAUUACGCUCGCUCGAGUGAAUUCGCGUGCGACAGUUGAACUCUUGAAGACUCGAGACGGAAUUACGGAAUCGUUGCCUCUUUCUUCGACCAGCGUAGCUUAUUAUUGUGGUUCCGACAGUUCGACAGAUGUCUUCCAUCAAUUAAUCUUGAAGACAGAAAGCUACCCUAUUAGUGCUGAAAUAUUAUACUUUAAAACAAGAA